rnacentral:rRNA from 1 species
GACGAACGCUGGCGGCGUGCUUAACACAUGCAAGUCGAGCGGGAUUUGAGAGCUUGCUCUCAAAUCUAGCGGCGGACGGGUGAGUAACACGUGGGUAAUCUGCCCUCAAGUGGGGAAUAACACAGAGAAAUCUGUGCUAAUACCACAUAAUGUAUGCUGGUCGCAUGGCUGGCAUAAAAAAGAUUUAUUGCUUGAGGAUGAGCCCGCGGCCCAUUAGCUAGUUGGUGAGGUAAAGGCCCACCAAGGCAACGAUGGGUAGCCGACCUGAGAGGGUGAUCGGCCACAUUGGAACUGAGAUACGGUCCAGACUCCUACGGGAGGCAGCAGUGGGGAAUAUUGCACAAUGGGGGAAACCCUGAUGCAGCAACGCCGCGUGAGCGACGAAGGCCUUCGGGUUGUAAAGCUCUGUCUUCGCUGACGAAUAAAUGACGGUAAGCGAGGAGGAAGCCACGGCUAACUACGUG